rnacentral:rRNA from 1 species
UGCCCAAGAGAUCGGGAUAACACCUGGAAACAGAUGCUAAUACCGGAUAACAACAGAUGAUGCCUAUCAACUGUUUAAAAGAUGGUUCUGCUAUCACUCUUGGAUGGACCUGCGGUGCAUUAGCUAGUUGGUAGGGUAACGGCCUACCAAGGCGAUGAUGCAUAGCCGAGUUGAGAGACUGAUGGCCACAUUGGGACUGAGACACGGCCCAAACUCCUACGGGAGGCAGCAGUG